AUUAGUGGCGAACGGGUGAGUAACACGUGGGUAACCUGCCCAUAAGAGGGGGAUAACAUUCGGAAACGGAUGCUAAUACCGCAUAUGUCUUUGAGACGCCUGUCUCUUUGACGAAAGGUGGCUUCGGCUGCCGCUUAUGGAUGGACCCGCGGCGUAUUAGCUAGUUGGUGAGGUAAUGGCUCACCAAGGCUGUGAUACGUAGCCGACCUGAGAGGGUGAUCGGCCACACUGGGACUGAGACACGGCCCAGACUCCUACGGGAGGCAGCAGUAGGGAAUCUUCCACAAUGGGUGAAAACCUGAUGGAGCAAUACCGCGUGAGUGAAGAAGGUCUUCGGAUCGUAAAGCUCUGUUGUUAGAGAAGAACAAGUCGGGUAGUAACUGCCCCGACCUUGACGGUAUCUAACCAGAAAGUCACGGCUAACUACGUGCCAGCAGCCGCGGUAAUACGUAGGUGACAAGCGUUGUCCGGAUUUAUUGGGCGUAAAGCGAGCGCAGGCGGUCUUUUAAGUCUGAUGUGAAAGCCCACGGCUCA
rnacentral:rRNA from 1 species